CCAGAAGCUCUGCAACGGGAUCAGGUGACAAUAUAAACACAGGACAAUAUGAUGUUUGACAGUGAUGCAAUACCAACUAAGUUGAAAUGUCCCAAAUAAACUUCCAUCACAGAGUUUCAUCAAUACUAAGAGCUGUUACAAUGGACGUGUCAUUGCCUGCCAUGUGCAUCAAAACUGGAAGAACGGGCAUCAGCAGCUUGGAAGAAAACCCAGCAGACGGAGCAGAGCACUUUUGUAAAAAGCUCCAUCGCCAGUGCUCUUGAUGACGCAGAAGGUGACACUGUCUGCGAUCACACAGGCCACUCUGAUUUAAAAAGUGGCCCAGCCAUAGGGACAGAAGGUGAAUUAGUGGUUGCAGGAGAUAGACUCUGCCUCCCACCAAGACUCUUAAGGAGGGGGAAGAGGUGGCGGGUGAUGGGCAGCCCAAAUCAUGGAAAUCCUUCUCUCUACAUGGCCGUGGUGGUAAGGCCCCAUGCUGGAUGAUCAGAAUAGACACUGGCUGCGACAACCAAGCUGCUCUCAUUCUGACUUCAAGAUCAAAGUUUUGUUAAAGAAACAAGUAUUCACAGAUCUUGUUAGAGAAUGAACGGAUCCCUUGAGCUGCUGUCUGAGAGUAACCUGUGAAGGACAGGGUGAAGCCAGUUAGGAAGCCUUUGCAGUAAUCCAAGAAAGUAAUCCAUGGAAGACCAAAGUAGUAACAGAAAUGGAGGAGUGGUGACUCUGAUCUAAAGAAGAGCGUGAGAAACCACGGUGCCUAAUUUGGGAAGCCCUGAAGUGAUCCACUCUGGGAAUAGGUGGUUUGUUUGGCCCUGUGAAGCAGAACUCAGGCCUCCAGCGUCUGCUUGUCCGGACCUAAAGGUGUUUCCUGAGGGCCGAGGCGGCCCUGCCUCGCAGGUAUCUCCGCAGACCACAGCGACGCACCGAAGGCGCGACGCUCCCUCCUGGCACGCACCCGGGCCGCGGGCUCCUCCGCUCCCCCUCCAACCCCAGCUCUGCUGCCCAGGCCGGAUGCUGAGUGAGAUAAUGUGAGAAAAAACACACUGGAUGUCAUAUGUGGGGGUCACCUGACCUAGUACUCUGGAAAAAGUUCAGGCCAGAGAAGAAAACUGAGGAAGGACUCAGAUUUGCAUGAUGUGUAGAAGUGGGUGCACGGUGAAACUAGCAAAGCCUGAGAUUCACAGCUCCACCCUGAAAUACCAGACUCUUCCAAGGCCCCAAGAUGGCCGCUGGCAAUUUUGUGUCUGCGAUGGGUCUCGUAAGACUGCAAUCAAGUGAUUGGCUGGGGCUCUAGUCGCCUUGAAGCUUGCCCGGGCGGAAGGAGCAUCUUCUGAGGUCACCGCCGUGGGCGUCUCCAGAGGACUGCCUGACAGGGGCUCCGGCCUUGCCAACUGCUCAUUCUUUCUUCACGGACCGCCAAGUCUGAGAUUGUCCGGGCUUUAUCCACACCCCUUGACUUCACUCCGGAAUUCCCAUGCUGAGCCCUCUCAGCACCUCCGUAUUCCGAAGCCGACUGUUGGAGCCAUGAAUCCUGGUCGUCUGACCCCGAGGUGAAGGAAGCACACUUCUGGGCAUUGUGUGACUCAGCUUCAGCCUGCACGGAGCCCCCCUUCUACUGAGCUGGCAAGAAAGUAAACUCAGUAGUUGUGGAAUGCCUGCCCUUCCACCCCUGGCCUCCUAGGAGGUCCCUCUAGGCAGAAACUUGCUCUUUGGUUCUGGCAGAUCAGUGCUGAGAUGUUCCCUGGUCCUGCCACAUGGUCCCUUCAGGUCCAGUGCCCUUGCAGCUUGGAACAGAGGGAUCUUUGGCCAAGGAGGUGCUCCUGGACCCGGGGUUCAGCCUUCCUAACGGCACUGAUCGAUCGCCCUCUCUGGAGACUUGACACAGAGUAGCAUCCAGACCCCAGCCUUCGGGGACCUGAUAUUUCCCCUCUUCUCAGGCCCAGCCCCAGGGUCCAUUUUCUGAUCCCUUCUCAGGAAACUGGCAUAGCCACCCCAGGACACCAAGCACAGACAACCAGCCUGCAAAAAUGUGUCAGGAAAGGGAGCCCUAGAGACCCGACCGCCUGUUUGGAAUGCAGGCGAUGGAAAAGGACAGCAAACCAAACCUACAUUAAUAUCGCUGAGAGCUUGAAAGUGGUUUCAACAAGUAACACUCUCUCCCCUGUGAGUCUGUAGAAGACGGAUGGAGAUCAAAACACUCACUUUAUUCCAAAUAAAGGUGAUCAGAGGCCGUGGGUUUGGGUUUGCUCCAAGGCACUCUCUCUCCAGACCAAGCCACUGCAGGCCCAGGGAAGCCCCUCAGUGAGCACGGCCAGACCGGCCAGACUGAUCAAGAGGGCUUGAGCCCUGGGGAGCCAGGCGGUGCUCUGUUCCUUCCCCGUGUUGACUGAGCACAUGAGCCGCCCCCUCCUUGUUUCUGUAGUUGGAGAACCCCUCUCACGAGGCCAGCUGCCCCCUAACAAAUAUUUCUGAACACAACCCUGCCAUACCGUGAAAUCUGGACAUCCAGACAAGGCCUCCCUCCUGGACUCCAGGCCAGUAUUUCUCACCAUCCACUCUUCUGGUCCACUGUACCCUCCCAGGACCCAUCUCCCUGCCUCUCCCAUCCCCAGGUUGGGGGGGGGGUGUUCUGCCCCCAUCUCCAGCUUCUUCUACCUUUUCCUGAAAAUGCACCCAAUACUCCCUUCACACACCCUUACAGCAACAGCUGAUCUUCAGAACCUUCGUCCUUUGCACUUGAGGUUUUCUCCUGCUGCCCUCCCACCGCCCCCAGCUUGCUGCCUGCCUGGACAACCCCUAACUGUCCUGCAACAUUCAUCCCCAAGUGUAACCAAGACCUCAGCCAGCUUCCCUGCUAGUCUGCAGUGUCCUUCCACAUAGGGACAAGUUUAAUUCUUGUGUGUGUCCUAGAUGCCUAGUUCGAUGCCUAGUGAAUAUCAGAGUCUCUGUAAAUAUUGAGAAGUGAGCGGACUCCUGGCUGCUGUCUCCCACUGGCCCCAUCAGUUGAGCCUUGUCAAACCAAUGUCCUCCUGUCUUCCUUCCUUCCCCCGUUCCCCAUCCCCUUCACCUGGUGACCUUGUUGCAGCUAAUGGGCUCAGAGCUCACAGGGAAUUUAGUGGUGCUUUCCCUCUGGUGUGCUUAGCGGGAGGCAGGCCCAGCGGGUGUCUUGUCUCUGCAGACAGUGAGUGGGCCUCGCUGGAGGAGCUGCAGCUUGGUGCAACCUCAGGGCCUCCUGCAAAUCAGACUCACUCGCCUUCACUUCCUGUGCUCAAGGAGAUGAGAUACAGCCUAAUCAACGACGAUUGUUUCUUCUUGUCUUCAUGUUUGAAACUACCAAGUACCAGUUGCCAUCCUAGUGGGUGGCUUUCAGAAAUCCCCUCUUUUCUGGUGUUUGGCUUCUUGUGAGUUUCAAGAAACCAAUCUAUUUGGAAAGAACCUGCACUUAGAAGUUCUUUGAAUUGCUGAGAAGCCCGGGCAGGAAGUGACUUGGGAUCCGGCUUAGACGGGCUGGCCUCACUCUCUCCCCUAGGGAGGUGGGAGUAAUAAGGAGGGUUAGGGGCAUCUGGGGUUGUGUGUGACUUUAGAGCCCUGCUGUGGCCGGCUUUACAGCUGCAGUCCGAUCUGAAGUCAGAGGAAGGUUGUUGAGGCCUUCCUCAAUAGGGCUGGACACAGGGCAAGUGCCCCCUCUCUGCUGGGCACUCUGGGCCCUGGGCUGGCAGGGACGGCCUUAAUGGGCUCUCCUCUCAGCCUGACCUGUGCCCACCCGGAAGCAGACUAAAGGUCACGCGUGUAAAACUCCAUCAGAAUUAAAUGCGUCUUACACACUUUCUCCGAAUAAAACGGCUGUUGUGAGAAAUAUUUUUGGAGAUGGGCUUGGUGGCCCAGCAGGGACCACUUACCCCACAU